rnacentral:rRNA from 1 species
GCGCGAGGCGACGGGCGUUCUCGCCGGAUGUAGGGAACCGACCCGGGGACCGCCGGGGCAACCCGGCGCCCCCGAGACGGGGCGAACCACGGUGAAAUGACGGAUCGUCGGCCCCGCGCCGGCGACUCGCCGAAUGAGUUUCUGACCUAUCAACUCGAGACGGCGGGGUAGAGGCCCGCCGCGGUAACGACGGUAACGGGGAAUCAGGGUUCGAUUCCGGAGAGGGAGCCCGAGAAACGGCUACCACUUCCAAGGAAGGCAGCAGGCGCGCAACUUACCCUAAUCUCGAUUCGAGGAGGUAGUGACAAGAAAUACCGAUGCGGGACCCUACGGGUGCCGCGUUCGGAAUGAGUACGAUUCGAACCACCUAACGAGGAACGAUCGGAGGGGCAAGUCUGGUGCCAGCAGCCGCGGUAAUUCCAGCUCCAAUAGCGUACG